AGUCGGGGGCAGCAGCAAGAUGCGAAGCGAGCCGUACAGAUCCCGGGCUCUCCGAACGCAACUUCGCCCUGCUUGAGCGAGGCUGCGGUUUCCGAGGCCCUCUCCAGCCAAGGAAAAGCUACACAAAAAGCCUGGAUCACUCAUCGAACCACCCCUGAAGCCAGUGAAGGCUCUCUCGCCUCGCCCUCUAGCGUUCGUCUGGAGUAGCGCCACCCCGGCUUCCUGGGGACACAGGGUUGGCACCAUGGGGCCCACCAGCGUCCCGCUGGUCAAGGCCCACCGCAGCUCGGUCUCUGACUACGUCAACUAUGAUAUCAUCGUCCGGCAUUACAACUACACGGGAAAGCUGAAUAUCAGCGCGGACAAGGAGAACAGCAUUAAACUGACCUCGGUGGUGUUCAUUCUCAUCUGCUGCUUUAUCAUCCUGGAGAACAUCUUUGUCUUGCUGACCAUUUGGAAAACCAAGAAAUUCCACCGACCCAUGUACUAUUUUAUUGGCAAUCUGGCCCUCUCAGACCUGUUGGCAGGAGUAGCCUACACAGCUAACCUGCUCUUGUCUGGGGCCACCACCUACAAGCUCACUCCCGCCCAGUGGUUUCUGCGGGAAGGGAGUAUGUUUGUGGCCCUGUCAGCCUCCGUGUUCAGUCUCCUCGCCAUCGCCAUUGAGCGCUAUAUCACAAUGCUGAAAAUGAAACUCCACAACGGGAGCAAUAACUUCCGCCUCUUCCUGCUAAUCAGCGCCUGCUGGGUCAUCUCCCUCAUCCUGGGUGGCCUGCCUAUCAUGGGCUGGAACUGCAUCAGUGCGCUGUCCAGCUGCUCCACCGUGCUGCCGCUCUACCACAAGCACUAUAUCCUCUUCUGCACCACGGUCUUCACUCUGCUUCUGCUCUCCAUCGUCAUUCUGUACUGCAGAAUCUACUCCUUGGUCAGGACUCGGAGCCGCCGCCUGACGUUCCGCAAGAACAUUUCCAAGGCCAGCCGCAGCUCUGAGAAGUCGCUGGCGCUGCUCAAGACCGUAAUUAUCGUCCUGAGCGUCUUCAUCGCCUGCUGGGCACCGCUCUUCAUCCUGCUCCUGCUGGAUGUGGGCUGCAAGGUGAAGACCUGUGACAUCCUCUUCAGAGCGGAGUACUUCCUGGUGUUAGCUGUGCUCAACUCCGGCACCAACCCCAUCAUUUACACUCUGACCAACAAGGAGAUGCGUCGGGCCUUCAUCCGGAUCAUGUCCUGCUGCAAGUGCCCGAGCGGAGACUCUGCUGGCAAAUUCAAGCGACCCAUCAUCGCCGGCAUGGAAUUCAGCCGCAGCAAAUCGGACAAUUCCUCCCACCCCCAGAAAGACGAAGGGGACAACCCAGAGACCAUUAUGUCUUCUGGAAACGUCAACUCUUCUUCCUAGAACUGGAAGCUGUCCACCCACCGGAAGCGCUCUUUACUUGGUCGCUGGCCACCCCAGUGUUUGGAAAAAAAUCUCUGGGCUUCGACUGCUGCCAGGGAGGAGCUGCUGCAAGCCAGAGGGAGGAAGGGGGAGAAUACGAACAGCCUGGUGGUGUCGGGUGUUGGUGGGUAGAGUUAGUUCCUGUGAACAAUGCACUGGGAAGGGUGGAGAUCAGGUCCCGGCCUGGAAUAUAUUUUCUACCCCCCUGGAGCUUUGAUUUUGCACUGAGCCAAAGGUCUAGCAUUGUCAAGCUCCUAAAGGGUUCAUUUGGCCCCUCCUCAAAGACUAAUGUCCCCAUGUGAAAGCGUCUCUUUGUCUGGAGCUUUGAGGAGAUGUUUUCCUUCACUUUAGUUUCAAACCCAAGUGAGUGUGUGCACUUCUGCUUCUUUAGGGAUGCCCUGUACAUCCCACACCCCACCCUCCCUUCCCUUCAUACCCCUCCUCAACGUUCUUUUACUUUAUACUUUAACUACCUGAGAGUUAUCAGAGCUGGGGUUGUGGAAUGAUCGAUCAUCUAUAGCAAAUAGGCUAUGUUGAGUACGUAGGCUGUGGGAAGAUGAAGAUGGUUUGGAGGUGUAAAACAAUGUCCUUCGCUGAGGCCAAAGUUUCCAUGUAAGCGGGAUCCGUUUUUUGGAAUUUGGUUGAAGUCACUUUGAUUUCUUUAAAAAACAUCUUUUCAAUGAAAUGUGUUACCAUUUCAUAUCCAUUGAAGCCGAAAUCUGCAUAAGGAAGCCCACUUUAUCUAAAUGAUAUUAGCCAGGAUCCUUGGUGUCCUAGGAGAAACAGACAAGCAAAACAAAGUGAAAACCGAAUGGAUUAACUUUUGCAAACCAAGGGAGAUUUCUUAGCAAAUGAGUCUAACAAAUAUGACAUCUGUCUUUGGCACUUUUGUUGAUGUUUAUUUCAGAAUGUUGUGUGAUUCAUUUCAAGCAACAACAUGGUUGUAUUUUGUUGUGUUAAAAGUACUUUUCUUGAUUUUUGAAUGUAUUUGUUUCAGCAGAAGUCAUUUUAUUGGAUUUUUCUAACCCGUGUUAACACCAUUGAAUGUGUAUUUCUUAAGAAAAUACCACCCUCUUGUGCCCUUAAAAGCAUUACUUUAACUGGUAGGGAACGCCAGAAACUUUUCAGUCCAGCUAUUCAUUAGAUAGUAAUUGAAGAUAUGUAUAAAUAUUACAAAGAAUAAAAAUAUAUUACUGUCUCUUUAGUAUGGUUUUCAGUGCAAUUAAACCGAGAGAUGUCUUGUUUUUUUAAAAAGAAUAGUAUUUAAUAGGUUUCUGACUUUUGUGGAUCAUUUUGCACAUAGCUUUAUCAACUUUUAAACAUUAAUAAACUGAUUUUUUUAAAGAUCCCUUUGUGAAGAGCAUUCUUAAAAAUAAUUAUUGAGUCAUCUACUGGAUUGUGUAGCUCUUUGGAAUCAAAGUGAAGGACAAAUUUCUAUUAUUCUUUAAAGGAUUUUUACCUUAACUAGGGUGUGAAAAAAGUGUGGUUUGUUUAGAAACCACUCUAUCUUUUUCAGGAAGAGAAACUUCAAUAAGUUAACACUGAAGAGUAGUAAAGAAUGAGAUAAAAACCACCAACCUUCUGAAUACCACAUUGGCUAGACACUGUCUUGGCUUCUCCCAGCCUAUCUUCUGAACCACAUAGAAGUAUACAGUAUCAGUGAAGCAGCUAGCUGUAAAAUGUGGGCUGAGUAGCAUAACACUUUUAUCUGAAAACCUUCAAUUCAUAGUAUCUGAAAGCAUUAAUAUUCUCAGUCAUUAAUUUUUCCAACUACAAAAUGAAGGCACUUUGCAAGCAUCACAGACUUAUUGUAAUAGUUAAUUCUUGUUUUUGAUUAUUGUCAUCUUUUGGGGGAUUAAAGUGUUUUGGCAUGUUGGGCUCUCUAA